rnacentral:rRNA from 1 species
UACGGAGGGGGCCAGCGUUGUUCGGAAUUAUUGGGCGUAAAGGGCGCGUAGGCGGCGAGGUAAGUCAGACGUGAAAUCCCCCGGCUCAACCGGGGAAUUGCGUCUGAAACUGCCCCGCUCGAGGCCGGGAGAGGAGAGUGGAAUUCCCAGUGUAGCGGUGAAAUGCGUAGAUAUUGGGAGGAACACCGGUGGCGAAGGCGGCUCUCUGGACCGGUUCUGACGCUGAGGCGCGAAAGCUAGGGGAGCAAACAGG